ensembl:lncRNA
UGGGAGCACACAGGUCUGCAAGUACUACCGCAUUUCCAACUAACCCAGGAAGCGUUAAGCUGCUCUACGUGAAAUUUCUCCACAGCUUCAUUGCCCAGGUUUCUUCUCAGUUGACUCACCACUCCAGCAGGCUGUCAAGUCAGAGACUGAGUGCCUGAGCAGGCAUGGACCAUGAAGGAGAGGAAUCCAACACACCGAGGUUGGAGCCAGCCAGUCUGAGGAAGUCAGAGAUGGCAGGAAGAAAUGGUCUCAUUCCAAAAGGUGAUGUUUGGUUUUACCUCCUGAACUGGUGCUGGAGAAGAGACAUGGCCCAUGAAACAGCGGUGGACCUUUCCAAGCAGAACUAGAAGACAUUUGUCAGAGUUCCAGACAUUCGCGAACAACUCCCCAGAUUCCCUGAGCUUGUUGUUAUUAAAAGUAGGUUUAAGGCUGAUGAAAGCUCCCAGAUCCACGGAAGUCCACCUCACUGCCUUCCACCUAAAGGGUCCUGGCUGGCAGAAUUCGUCCAGAGUUUGAUUUCCUUAUCUUUCUGGAUCGUAAGUGUCUGUAAGUCAUACUCCAGGCGUCCUUUGAUGAAAAAUGCUGUUUUGUCAUUGUCCAAAGGCUGGCAAGAAUGUUAACAAUUGCGUAUGUUCAUUACUAUUAGAAAAUUGGUAAGGAGAGGCAAUGUUCUUUUGAGCAGAAAGGUCUAAUUCAGAGUGCCCUGAAUUCCCGGUAAAAAGCUCUCUCCACACCUAAUCGUCAUAGCACUAGAGGUCUUGAUCUAUUAGAUGUGAGCCCUGGAAAAAUGCCACUUAUUGGAAUUUUUGUUCCAAAUAACCAGAAUUAAGAUUAAAUGGAUAGGUAUGGACAUAAGAAAUCAUGAAGCAGAAUGUUGUAGUUGAUCACUGAUGAGGAAAUCAAAUGAAUCUGUUUAAGAUUCGUAUCAUCACUGUGUCUGUGGUCAUCAGUCAACAUGGAAAACAUUACUCCAAUGUUGUCUAAAUUUUAAUUGCAGAGAAUAUGUGUACCAGUAAGUAAAAACAUGUAGACCCUAUUCUUAAAGUAGGGUUGCCUGUUAUUAUAAUCUUUUAAUAAUAAAAGUUUUAGUUUUAGAAUGAUACUUUCUAAAAUAUUGAUGGUAGGCCUUUUCUAUUUAAAAGAUUAUAAUGAUUAAUCCUUUUUGGUCUAAUCUCCCAGGCCUCAAAAGUCUUUUUAACUGAAAAGCAGGCAAAGAUGCACUUUACACCAGACACAUAUCUAAAAAUUGGUAUAACUCAGAAAAUGGACAAAGGCAAAUCAUUAUUUGUUUAUUUCAGUAGCCUGAUGUGCAUCUUACAGAAUGUGGUAUGUGAAAGUAACUCAUCAAAUUGUGACUGAAUCACUAGAUUUCACCUUAUAUUAAAUAGUGUCUAAUAUAAUAUUUUUGAAAAAAUUCUGGUUCUUCUCAUACCUGUAUCAAUCUUUAUGGAAAGAGUUUAUCCAGAAUGUUGAGAAUAUGAUUGACAUAAAAUUAGAUAUAACAAAUGCCUGAUUAUUCAAAUUAAUGAAAGAAACUGACGGAUUAGAAACUACAAAGCAAGCCUCAUUUUUGGAUAGAAAUACACUGCAAUGUCAUUUUUAUUUUUAUCAUUUGCCUUCCUAAUUAGAUACCGCAUUGGGUGACACAAGAAAGUGCUUGUAUUCCCUGAAUGGUAGAAAAUGUCAUCACGAAGGCAGCAGGGAGAAUGUAGACUGGGCCGUCAAAUGGUAGCAUUCAGUCUAAAUGGUUCUCCUGUACUUAGAAUAUCACCCAUACUGAAAGCACUGACAGCAUCAUACUGAUCAGUUCAGCUUUCCAUGCCUUGGUAGUUUCAGACAUUGCAUGCUACACUUCUGUCUGGGCUAAGAUAAAUGUCCGUUAAUUCUCCAGAUGUUGCUAUCUGUUCAACUUUCAUCCAUGUGCACUUAUAUCCACGUCUGGAAAUGUUUAAAUAAAUGGUAAAAAAUUUUUUCACUUUCUUUCUGGAUAUCUCAGUGUCCUGGAGUCCUGUCCACAGCCAAUUUAUAUAUUUCUUGAUUUUCAUCAAAAUACUGGGAAUUCUUCCUCUUGUUGUAUAUAAUAACAUCAUAUCAUAACAUUAAAAACCGUUUUCAAAGGGUAGUUUUUAAACAUCCCAAUGAAGAACUGAUUUUAACUGAUGUGCUGAUACCUCCACCUGGUGGCUGAAGUGGAGAAUACAUCCUUCUCAUGCUGGGAACUAAAGACAAUUAAUUACUCAUUGGUGUUCUAUAAUUCAGCGACUUGAGCAUUUUCCAUGUGCUACCCGCAGUAAACAAAAUAUGAUGAGUAAAGUCUCAUUUUUGAAGUAAUGAUAAUAUAAUUAAUUUAGAAAUCAGUAUACUUACUGAAAAAUAUAAUUAUUACUU